UAGUGAUCGGAAGUCUUGUAAUCAGGCCUU
rnacentral:piRNA from 1 species